rnacentral:rRNA from 1 species
AUUGAACGCUGGCGGCAUGCCUUACACAUGCAAGUCGAACGGCAGCACGGGUGCUUGCACCUGGUGGCGAGUGGCGAACGGGUGAGUAAUACAUCGGAACGUAUCUUAUCGUGGGGGAUAACGCAGCGAAAGCUGUGCUAAUACCGCAUACGCCCUGAGGGGGAAAGCGGGGGAUCGCAAGACCUCGCGCGAUUAGAGCGGCCGAUGCCUGAUUAGCUUGUUGGUGGGGUAAAAGCCCACCAAGGCGACGAUCAGUAGCUGGUCUGAGAGGACGAACAUCGACACUGGGACUGAGACACGGCCCAGACUCCUACGGGAGGAAGCAGGGGGGAAUUUUGGACAAGCGGGGAAACCCAGCUCCGGCAAUGCCGCGUGAGUGAGUAAGGCCAUCAGGUUGUCACGCUCUUUUGUCAGGGGAAAAACACCCGCUAUAACACAGUCCGUUAAUGACGGUACCUGAAGAAUCAGCACCGGCUAACUACGUCCCAGCAGCCGCCGUAA